UGAAACACCGGUUCACGUUCGAUCACCGAGUUUAAGCAACAUCGAGCUUAGUGAGUACCUAGAUGGGUAACUGCUUGGGGAUAACAGGUGUUGUAG